rnacentral:rRNA from 1 species
CACAUCGGGACUGAGACACGGCCCGAACUCCUACGGGAGGCAGCAGUGGGGAAUAUUGGACAAUGGGCGCAAGCCUGAUCCAGCCAUGCCGCGUGUGUGAAGAAGGCCCUCGGGUUGUAAAGCACUUUCAGUGGGGAAGAAAUCCUCGGGGCUAAUACCCUCGAGGGAGGACAUCACCCACAGAAGAAGCACCGGCUAACUCCGUGCCAGCAGCCGCGGUAAUACGGAGGGUGCGAGCGUUAAUCGGAAUUACUGGGCGUAAAGCGCGCGUAGGCGGCCUGAUAAGCCGGUUGUGAAAGCCCCGGGCUCAACCUGGGAACGGCAUCCGGAACUGUCAGGCUAGAGUGCAGGAGAGGAAGGUAGAAUUCCCGGUGUAGCGGUGAAAUGCGUAGAGAUCGGGAGGAAUACCAGUGGCGAAGGCGGCCUUCUGGACUGACACUGACGCUGAGGUGCGAAAGCGUGGGUAGCAAACAGGAUUAGAUACCCUGGUAGUCCACGCCGUAAACGAUG